rnacentral:misc_RNA from 1 species
AAACGACAUCACUGGAUGUAUCACAAAGCCUUGAUUAACGUAUAUUCAAUGUUGUGUCAUGCACUAGAUGCCACUUAAAAGAUAACCAAGACCACAACGUACACCACCAUCAACGAUUGAAGAUGAGCAAAAUCCAAGCCUGAAAAUGAAGAAAUUAGGGGAAUCUGUAGAUUGGGUUGAAAAUCCAGCAACCUAAAACUAAUA